ACUCUCGUGUCAGAGUUUGAUCCUGGCUCAGGAUGAACGUUGGCGGCAUGCCUAACACAUGCAAGUCGAACGCGGACUUCGGUCCGAGUGGCGAACGGGUGCGUAACACGUAGGUGACCUGCCCACCGGUGGGGGAUAACCGCGAGAAGUCGUGGCUAAUACCGCAUGAGAUCGUGCUGUUUUGAAAGGCACGAGGAAAGCUUGAUGCGCCGGUGGAGGGGCCUGCGGCCUAUCAGCUAGUUGGUGAGGUAACGGCUCACCAAGGCGAUGACGGGUAGCUGACCUGAGAGGGUGGUCAGCCACAGGGGAACUGAGAGACGGUCCCC
rnacentral:rRNA from 1 species